GACGAACGCUGGCGGCGUGCUUAACACAUGCAAGUCGAACGGAAAGGCCCUGCUUAUGUGGGGUGCUCGAGUGGCGAACGGGUGAGUAACACGUGAGUAUCCUGCCCUUGCCUUUGGGAUAACUUCAGGAAACUGGGGCCAAUACCGGAUAGGAGCUCCUGCUGCAUGGUGGGGGCUGGAAAGUUUCGGCGGUUGGGGAUGGACUCGCGGCUUAUCAGCUUGUUGGUGGGGUAGUGGCUUACCAAGGCUUUGACGGGUAGCCGGCCUGAGAGGGUGACCGGCCACAUUGGGACUGAGGUACGGCCCAGACUCCUACGGUAGGCAGCAGAGGGGAAGAUUGCACAAUGGGCGGAGGCCUGAUGCAGCAACGCCGCGUGCGGGAUGACGGCCUUCGGUUUGUAAACCGCUUUCGCCUGAUACGAAGCGUGAUUGACGGUAAUGGGUGAAGAAGCACCGGCUAACUACGUG
rnacentral:rRNA from 1 species